CAGAGGAUAGGCCUACACAAACUUGUACCGGACCACUGACUAGUCCGCCUGCUCAUCUUUAGGGUGUAGGAGGGAAUGCCAAGUAGAAAACUCACGACGAUUGCUUUGAUUAAACUCAAACUUGCUAACAUUUAGAGUGCAGUCGUCUGAUCAAGAAGUCAGCCGAGAGCACAGAUGGGCUUCAACGGAGGAGCUGUGGUCGUGAGGAGGCCCAGGCGACACACUCGUCAACAAAAAACACGUUCUACACGAGCACCAAACACACACACACCCGCCAGGGCCAACACCCAAGAUGCUUCACAUUGUUUUGAAAAUUCCAAGUGAAGUUCAACCGCUUGGAAUGCAAAGGAAUGAAGACAAUGUCCCAAUAAAUAGAGGAAGACCCACACACCCAAUCGCCUUUUAUUACCCAAGUCGUAUAAUCGAGGUGGCACACAAAGCAGCAGGUGUUCACAUUGGUAUUUUAUUUUAAUUUAAUUUCAUGUCAAGGGGUACAAAACAAAAACCAAAAA